AUAAUUUUUUGGAGAUUCAAAAGACUUAAAUAGAGGAAUCCAUCUUCUGGUAUAUAACACUGCAGGUGUGGAAAUAGCUGGCUUCACGAUGAAGUGUGUGAUACUCAUUCUGGUACUCUCUCUGACUCUCCCUGCAGCAUUGUCUGUUCAGCCUCACCGUCGAAGCUAUUCUGAAAGCGAUGAG